rnacentral:lncRNA from 1 species
UGUGUUUUGUUUUGGUUUGUGGGUUGCUGUUCUGUAGUAGAAUUUUCUGGUUUUGGGGUAUGGCAGCUGAAGAUGAGUCGGAUUACUAGUCUCGUAUCAGGUGUUUCUCUCAUUCCUCCCAAUUCAUUACCUCGGAGUGGUAGUAUUUUAGCUCAAAGUACUGGUUUUUAACUUUUAUUAUAAUUCUUUUGCUCACAUAUUUUGAUUGAACUAGCAUCAGAAAACUACUAUUUUUUAUUUGAGAUANNNNNNNNNNNNNNNNNNNNNNNNNNNNNNNNUGGAAUAUUGGUUAAGAAUGAAUCUUUUAUGUUCUAAUGUUAAAUGGUAAUCAGUGCAUAAUUCUUGUUAUUUUAUACCUUAGGUUGGUUUCAAUUCUUUGCUUUUGAUCCAUACUUUCAACCUCUUCUAUGACAUCUUUGUCAUUGACACACAAUCAGACACUACUCAGUUAUAAUGCUAUUGUUUAUUUACGAUUUCUGAAGAACUUGAAAGUACAUGAGUAUAUAGGACAAUUGUUUUAGUCCACUUUUUCAAAGGAUUCUGCAAAACCUUUCAUCUGUCAAUGUCCAUUAACUGCUAUAAAAUUGGCUGGCUAGUACUUCCAAUUCCUCUAUACCUCCAUGGGCUAUAGGGUAAGUAAGUUAUGUUCUUUUUCUUGUGUUGAUUUUAAUGUUAGAGGUUUUAGUUAUAAGCAUAUGUGAUAACUUGAAUCACUUUAAAUUAACGUUAAGAAGCUACAUCUAGAGGGAAGAUU